CCCAGACUCUGCAACACCACUAAGCAAGGGGCAACACAAGGAAGUGACACCACGAAGACCAAGGAGCUCACCAAACAGCUGGAGGGUGAUACAGCUGUCUGAAGACCAAAAGGCUGCAAUCAGGUGUUUGGCUGACAUUUGGGACCUCCCUGGUCUCACAGCUAAGAACAGAAAAUGGCUGUAAAACCGUCUACUACAGCAUGCGGUCUUGGGAAGAACCAUUCGACAAAUAAAACAGUUGCGAUGGGGCAUCAAAGUGUGGUUCCGGCUGACCGAAAGAAAAUAUGUGGUUCCACUAAUGUUCCCCUGUGAGGCAAACAUUGUGUGCAGCCCUGCGCUAACAACCUAAUGCCACAUGUUAUCAAAAGAUUAUCUUUGAUGACAGUAUCUGGCCUGGGUUGACAGAAAAUAAGGAUGAAGAGGAUGAUGAAGCGUACCCUAUCCAAAUGAGGUGUCGCAUUGUGGGAUACCUCUGGCUAUUUGUUGAGACUGGUAUUGUCACAUCUGCCUAUUAUUGUCCUUUUUCUAUCCCAAGUAUUGUGCACCUGGGCUCCAAAAGGCUAGUUCGAUAGUUAUUGUGCUUGCGGAAAGUAAAAUAACUUGUCAUUCAAUUUCUUAUUUUACUUUGAUUUCCACAAUGUGGAAAAGUAACAAGCUGUUUGAACUUUCAAAAAUGUCUACACAUGUGACUAUCUCACAACAUACAUCCUUCUCCCUGUGGAUCUCCAGCUUAUUAGCUUUCAGUUGAUCUCGGAUUUCUCUCACUCACAAUAGAGAGAGACAUGGUCCUCUUGCAUAAGUAUAAUUUAGUUCUAAGGAUGAACAAGGGUUUAGUUAUUUAUUAGAGGGAAUAUGUCUAAAACAUGUUAUGGGGACUAGGGUAUAAUUAUUUCAAUGAACAAUUUAGAGCCUGUUAGUGUUCAAUGAAAAACUGUCAAACAAGACUGCUUUGAGCAAGCCUACUAUUUUUGUUUCAUGUCCUCAGUAGGGGCCUUUCAGUAAUUCACCUUUACUGCUCAGCAUUAUUGCAAUACCCAUACAGUACAGAAGUCAUUUUAAUAUUUUCUUCUCUUUUCGCAUCAACGAUACUCAUGUAACUCUUUAAGUUCUGGAAGGGAUGGGAGAUCCUCACAGGAGAUUUGGAGAUUGUGUGUGUGAAGAUCUCCCGAGGUCGUCUCCUUGUUUCCAACCAAUCCGUCUGCCAGGGCACUACACUGAAUUUGGGGAGUCCUGCGUCGCACUUGCAUAGCCACUAGUGACACAGGCUUUGGGCUAGUCUACUGUUGCCACACUCAAGCACUUCUACUUGCCUCUAUCCUGACUAUGUAGUUUGGUUUUGUGUUCAUAGAUAGCGAGAGAGAGAUCAUUGGGAGAUCUUUCCAACAAUCUAUAUUCAAGUUCAACUUUGAUAUAAUCAUGAACAUCAUGGUUUAGAAUUUUUUUCGUGGGCAAACAAAUAAUCCUGGAAUGUGUUUUAGAGGGGCAGUCAACAGUUUAAACAGUGUUCUCCCCGUUUUGGUAAAAAGAUGAGGGAGGGCUCGGGAGUUAUAUAACCCCUUGCCAGUACGUAGACCAAGCUAUGCAUGCAAGGACUGGCCAUCAAUGAUAUCCAAAUUUAACAAUGUUUUGAAGCUAUAUAGUGUUUCUUUACAUUUACUUUGUUUAUAAGAAUUUGAGUAACACAACCUUUUUGGAUUCAGAUGGGGGUAAGAUAGUAGUUGAAUUAAUGAAGCAUUUAUUGUUAGUCUUUAAGAAUCCAUUGGUACAUAAUUAAUGUUCUCAAAAAUGUAUGCAGCAACUGCAGACUGGCCAUUUAAGUCAGUAAAAUUGCAUAAUGUACCCUUAUCACUUAUGGCAUUCUGUGCCAUCAGCUUUUUGCUCCUGUGAAUUAUAUUAUUUUUGUUUAAAUGGGUAAAUAAUUGAACCGUGCACCAGGGGUACUUGUGACUGAUUGCUGAAAUAAAGAGCCUGUUGGAGUAUUUCAUUUAUUAAUAUGAUUGCAGUGGGUGUUGGACAUAUAGAUCACGUCCGUGUGACUCUGAAGGGGAUAGGGGGUCAACCACUGACAGAAGCGCUGUCAUUUCUAGCUCAGAGUGGGCAUUCAAACUUGGGGACUAUAAGUCCUCUUUCCGAGGCCUCAUAGGUCAUCACUUCACUCUCCCAGUCAAUGUUUGGGUCUAGAAGGUCCUAGAAAGGAAAACAUCUUAGAUAUACUGUAGAUGUCUUUGGCAGCAAUAGUAUAUUUUUUGUAGGCACUAACUCUGCCACGGUUGUUGGACAAAGCCUGUAGGAAAAUUUGGCUUUUUGGAUAAUGACCUAAAAUAAGGUCUAUGGUAA
ensembl:lncRNA